UGGGUCUUUGCGGGCAAGAUGAGGGUGUCAGUUCAACUGGCCUGCAAAGUCCCAGUCCUCGGUGCCCAGGACCGGCAUUUUCUCCACGCUCCUCGGCGCCCGAGGCCGGCCCCUUCGCGGUCCUCGUGCGCUCCGCCUGGGCUUGGAGGGAGUCCCAGCCGUUUAGGGGGGAAUGUCCGUGCUUCAGUAGAGAAAUCUCCACGCACUUGAAAGUGUGAGUCGGCAUCUUCCAGAAGAGAUCUGGGUCCGCGCUCGGGUGACCUGGGGUCGGAGGAAAAAUGGCCUUUUUUUUUUUUCUCUUUUUUCUGGACCGGCCUGCCUUGCAGUGUGGCGCCAACCUUGAGCUUGGGGGUGGGGAAGAUAGAGCCUGAUUUCUGGACUUGCUCCUGGGUAGGCGGGCUGGGUGCGGAGCCCCUGCCUCUCCACUCCGGGUCUUAAACACAGUCUGUGGCUACUUCUCUAGCUAGAGUCUGCUCCUUUUCAUAUGUAACCCAAUACUGACCCCCAUCAAGUUUCAUACUGAAAAAAAGCCCAUUUUCUCUUAAGCUCUAUUGCUCUUAAAACUUUAUCUCCACCUACCACACACACACACACACACACACACACACACACACGCAAAUUCCACACAAAGCCUUGAAAUCUCGGGUCCCUGAACGUGGCCCCUUAUGUCAUGUUGCAUUGUGUGGCUGUCUCGGCAGCCUUGGAAAAAUAUUUAGGAGCGUGCACUUAGGAGACUUGAACUCUGUGUGUGAAGGGCAACUUGGCCAAAUAGGGCACCGCUGGCCCCUUCUUCCUGGCCUUGGGAAAUGAGAGCGGUUUCUAGAAGCUUGGAGGCUGGAGAAGGAGAAACCAGGUUGGCCCACCCUUUGGGCAGUUGAACAAAGGUCAUGUAAAGGGUACUUUUCCCACAGGUGUUUUUUCCCAUGCUUGUGGGUACCAUGAGAGGUAGUCCCUGUACAAAUCAUACUCGGACUGCUGUCCCUGCCCCCCCCCCCCCCCCCCGGCAUGUAGCAGUGGGAACGGGAGAGGGAGCCAGGUGUGGAGAGAAGUCUCAGAGAUGUGGGAUUCGGCUGGUGAGCCCCAGCAAGAUCAUAGCCUGAGUUUUGUCCGAGAGCCUUGUCCCACAGGCUCUAGUUGGUGGAAUGCACUAUUGCCUGCAGGAUGGAAGAAAAGAGCUUCUUUAACCCUGGUGUGGAUUUCCUAGCAUCUUGACAGACUCCGUUUUGAGACAGAAAUUGUUUAGGGAGCGGAACUGGUGGGCACUUUAACUGGAGGCCUUGUUCCUAAUGACGGAGAAUGCUUUCUUUGGGGCGCAGGAUCAGGCUGGAAAAACAAGUUAUCCUCUUAACCCAGCCCCCAGUGUGAGCAUCGAAAAGCAAAUGAAGUGAAAAUAUCCAUAGUAUUUUGUGGUCGUGAACCAUCCACAGACACAUAAGUGAGCUGGAGCCACGUGAUGCAGAAAAGUUUGCCAAACCGGCUGCUUUGCACCUGCCCCUGCAGGGGUCAAACUUUGAAAUGUGGGACAUAAGUCACUGGGAGUCAGGAGCCCCCAGCAUCCGAGGCCUCAGUACCUAGCCAGGUGGUAGAAUUUUUUUUUUUAAUGAUUUAGUCCCUCGUUUCUUUGGGGGAAGUGAAUGGUUUGAUUUUUUUUUUUUCUCUGUGGGUUUCAUUUGUUUGUUUUCUCCAUGAGGAGGGGGAGAGUGACUGAGCUAGGCCUUAGGCUGGGCUAUCCUAUCCUCCAGCAACUGAUUUCUGCAAAUGCGUUUAGCAAAAGUAAGUGUUAUAGUUGAGGGCUUUGCAGCUCUGCUGUGUCUCCUGGCAGACACCUCCUUCCUGGUCCCAGCACCACACCCUAUUCCAUCCUUGGAAGAUGGGUACCUCAAGGAUUCUCAGGAGGAAGUGACUGGAUGGCCAGGCUUGUUUGUGCUGGAGCCUUUUUCCGGAAGCAGCUAAGUGCAAGGUGGAAAGCUGAUGGGAGGAGGAUUUUAGCCAGACCUCCAGGGAGACCAGGCUGGAUUCAGGUACUGCUUGCUGGGAGGAGACUUUGGUUUCCUCAACUCUUAAGUAAAUUGUAACCCUGUGAAUAAUUAACCUCGCCCUUCUAGAUUUUUUUUAAAAAAUAAAAUCUCAACUUAUUAAAGAUUAAAGAUCAAAUUUUGCCCAGUGGGAUAGGAAUGAUCGAAGAGAGCGCUGAGAGGAGCUAGCCCCCUGGUCUCUGCAUUCCAGUCCUGGCAGCUUUGAAAGCUUUGUUAUUUGUUUUCUGUACAUAGGUGUUUUGUUUUGUCCGAACAAAUGUUCCUGUACCAUGUGCAUGCCUGGUGCCCAAGAAGGCUGGGAGAGGUUGUGUCUGGAGUUAGAGAAGGCUGUGUGGCACUCACAACCGCCGAGCCACGUCUCCAGCCCUAGGCGGGAUAAUACUUAGAAGCCACCCGGGCCCUGUAUUUUACUCUUGCCUUCCUUGCUGGCCUUUUGAGUGCCUCUCAGGGCUUUCUUCACAGCUGCCUCUUUGUACAAUGUUGAACUGUCUGAAUUCUCCAGGAUAGUGACACUCUACCCCUGACCCUGCACCCCCUUCAUCUAGCAACUGCUUGGCCCUCCCUACUUCAUGGGGGUUGAUUCCCCUCUCGGGGUGCUUGGCUGCCCUCUGGAAGGCUGGUAAAUAUUUGGCUAGCGUCAGGACUUGUGCACAGAAGCGCAGGCGCUCCUAAUCUGUGGCAAGUCCCUGAAAGAGUUGCAGCAGGAGGCAGGGAUCAUGUGCCACCGGGGCACAUGGUGGGUUUGGGUGUACUGGGGCUCCAGUUCUGAUCCCCCUGUAGGCAGGGUAGCCUUGGCUAGGUGACUGUAUCCCAAUUUCUCCUUUGUGAGGCAAGGGUUAUGAUUCUUACCUUGGGGUGUCAUGGUGAGGCUUAGAUUUUAAAAUGUGUGCAGUGGCUGGCGCAACCUGGCAGCUCUCCCAUGAGUGCCCCCUCCCACACACACUGGGAGGUUGGGCGUGUUCAGGUAGUGUGGCUUGUGUUUUGCAUCUCCCUGUUUCUCUCUGUUGGCUGAGAAGGGUGCAGUGUGACUGAGAGCUUAGGCUCUUGAGCCUGGCAGGCUCUCAUGUUGACUGUACCUUGCCGACAUACAUGGCCGUGGGGAAGUUACAUGGAGUGCUCAGGGAGGCACACCAGGAACCGAGGCUUCUUGAUCAAAAGCUGGGGGUGCUAUCUGGGAGACCUUCCCCUGCCUCAGGCUUGCUUCUUUGCAUUUUGGAAUAACUCAGCAUAUUCUGAGUAUUGGGUCUCAUGUAGCCGAGAUUGGCCUUCAUCUCCUGUUCCUCUGGCCUCUGCCUCCAAGCCCAGAGACUGUAAACACGUGCUAGCUACCACUCUGGGCCUUAUUGCAACAUGCUCUUCUUUCCUACCUCGACCACGACACAACGAUGCCACCAAGUCUCAAAGCAACAGUCUUGUUUGCCAGCUAAGGCUGGGCUGGGGCCUUGCCCAUGGAGGGCCAGACAAGGAGAUGAACGAUCAGUAAGCAUCACAGGGCCUGCUUGCUACAAGUCACCCAGGGUCUCAGGGACCUCACAUCGGCAGGGGACAGUCGCCUUCAAGAUGCCUUUGAGUCCCCGGGAACCCUGCCUGGAAGCUCUCAUCAUCUGACAAGAUAGUCUCAGUGUUUGGCGUACACUCUCCUGCCAGCCGUCCCCGGGAUCUGUGGAUGGCUUUCAAGAGGUCAGGUUUGCUUGGGAGCUGCCUGCUGGCGCCUUGCUGGGUAAAGAUGAAAUGGAUUUAGCCUUGCUGGUGAAAGUUGAGUGGGGCUCUUAUGGAUUGGACAAGGGGGACAGCGGUUCUGUCAGCUCCAGGCAGCUCUGCUGGCUUUUGCCAACUUCAGUCUCCACCUCCCCGGAGCCUCUUUGCCCCUGCCUACGCCUGCCUCAAACCUCCUUGUUCAUUCCCACGGUCCUCAUUCUUUACCAGAGCAUUUGCAACAGGGCAGGGCUGGGGAGAUGGCUCCGUCAGUAAGGCGCUUGUCACAAGUUCCUUCCCGAACACCUGGUGGCUCACCUGUGAUCUCCAGGGGAGAGACAGUUCUGUGGGACUGGCUAGCCACCCAGUUUAGCUAAAUCUAGGUUCAGUGAGAGACCCUGCCCUGAAUAUGGUGUAGGGUGACUGAGGAAGGCACCUUGAGGCGGACCCCUGACUUCCACACACAUGAACAGGAGCACACACAGAGACAUCAGGUGGGGUUGGUUUUGUUGGUUUUUUUGAGACCGGGUUUCACUCUGUAGACCAAGCUGGCCUCCAACUCACAAGCGAUCCACCUACCCCUGCUUCCCAAGCGCUGGCAUUAAAGGUAUGUGCUGCUAUUCCUGGCCUAAUACAUUAGCUCUUAAAAAGCAAACAUACUUCUUUCCCCAGCUAGGAAAGAAUUGCUCUCAAAUGCUGCUGAGCAUGCGUUGGUGGGAAGAACGAAGCUUUUAAACACCCGUGCCUGAAUUUCUCUGGGGGACACGUGAGCUGGGAACAUUGGUGUCUUCAGGGGGGAAGCUGGUCCCUUGGGGACCAGCACUGAGGUGACAUUUGGGUCUCCAGCACAGUGGACACUGUCUUCUGCUGUUGAUCCUGUAAGGAUGACCUUUCCUGACAGUUGCUUCUCUGGCCUCUGGCUCUGGCUGAACCCAAUUGGGCAGGUGGCUCUGGACUGAGCUUUGGGCCUUGUCUCUGCCCCGGAUUCCCUGAGGUUUGGGUCACUGAAGCCCAGGGCUUCCCCUGGGGAGUUUCAACUUUAGACUUCUACAGCUUCAGGCUCUGGCUUAGACCCAUGGCAUCUGCCAGAUGUCUUGAGGGCAGGUACCCAAUGGCUUUCUGAUUUGCCUGAUUGCAGAGAAGCAGAAAUCCCCUCACCCCUCACACCUCAUUCCUUUUUUUUUUUUUUUUCCCCUAGAGUUUGAAUUAAGGGCUUUAGACAUACUAGGCAAGCGCCACCACUGAGGGUAUUCCAAGUCCCUUUUUUGACUUGAGGCAGAAUCUUGCUAUGUAGCCCAGCCUGGCCUUGAACUCAGAAUCCUUUUGCCUCUCUCUCUAGAGUGCUACCAGUAUAGCUGUGUACCACCAUGCCCACCUGCUUUCCUGUUUUAACUCCUGUGUCAGGAAAGCAACUCUGGAUGGAGGUGGGGUUUAUUCCUGAUGGCUUGGCAUGGCGGAGCUGUCCGGUAAUAGCACGGUACACUAGGUAGGCAGAGGGGCGGGCAGCUGUGUGGUAGUUUCCCAUGGAUCUCGUUUCUGAUGAACUGUUGUCCCUCCAGAGGUCCACCUUUUGCUCUGUGUCACCAGGGUCCAGCCUGGGCGCAGACUGCUGACUUUCCCACUGUGGAGCUUCAGUUGCGUCUUCUCACGGGAGUUCCUAAUUUGACAGGACAUCACCUCAGAAUGGCUGAUGGCAGCCAACUUUUUUAUGCAUCUGAGGAUGCAGCUGACGAAGAGAGAGAACGCAGAGUUUCUUCAGGAACACACUCCCUGAUAACCAUCGCCAUCAGGUUGGAUUAUUUCACACCUGCUCUGAAAAGCUCCGUCCAUUCCCUUGAUGGUCAGUCCUUCAGCCUUGGCCCACCAGUGACCUGUCUUUCUCUCUUGUCUUUUCUGGAUGGUUGUGUGGUGUGCAUUGUGCGUCUGCUUUCUCUUAGUGUGUUUUCAAGAUUCACUCCUCCAUGUGCAUUAGAGUUCAGCCACUCCUCUGCAGGCCGGGCAGCAUCACCACCCGUGGGUGCCCCUGAAUUUGUCUGUCCAUCCUGCAGAUGAUGGCUGGGCUGUUUGCAGAUUUUGGUUGUUAUGAAUAAAGCUGUUUUGAAUGUUCAAGUA